UGUGGGAGCGGGCUUGCUCGCGAAAGCGGUGUGUCAGUCACUAUUGAGUUGCCUGAUACGACGCCUUCGCGAGCAAGCCCGCUCCCACA
rnacentral:misc_RNA from 1 species